ACUAGCUCAAGGGGGAGAAGUGCCCAAGACCAUAUAAGAGGCACAUUCCCCUAUCUCAAACCAAUGUGGGAUGCUAGCACACCCCCCUUCACUCUCAAGAACAAACACCUAAAAAUACCUAGAGUGUAAAACACUUAUAAGAGGCCCAACAUUUGUUGGCAAAGCUUUAAUACCAUAUUAUAAACUUGAAUUGAACGGGCAGAAGCAAACAAAUGGGCCGAGGUAAGAGUCCGUAGCGUGUGAGAUAGGCUUACUCAGGCUUGGACCAACCAUUGCUAAAAG
rnacentral:misc_RNA from 1 species